rnacentral:tRNA from 1 species
UGGGCAGCGGAGCCCCGAAGGAACCAAUUGGAAGCCCGCGCGCCUGCUUCGGGAGCAGGAGGUCGCUGGUUCAAAUCCAGUCGCCCAG